GCGGCACGCUGCCUUUCAGCCCCAUGACUCAUUUUAACUGAGGCACACAAAGAGGAAGCCGAAUCACAAAAUCGUAUCCAGUUCCUCUACUGAUGCAGACCUCCACUCAUGACCGAGGAGGGUCAUGACUAACACACCAGCACGAGGACCCAGUGUGAUCAUCUUCACUUCUACAGCAACAUACCAGAGACGCUCGGUACACCAACCUGCCUUCAGCGAGGAGAAAACAACAACCUGCCAGUCAACAAGCUCCGUCAGCCUCAUCCUCACCAUGGAGACCAACAAGGAGAAAAGGAAACGCAGAGAAAAUAGAAAAGAAAUGACUGCGUACUGAGAAUUAUAACAUU